AACGUCAACUCACCUUAUAUUUACUGGCCCAAGUUUUGUAUUGUCAGUCUGUAAACUUUGAACGAAAACGCAUCACAUAGGCUAGAAGCAUCGCAAGGACUAUUGUAAGGGAUAUUGUUCGUUAGGCUAUUCAUGGUUAUGACUUUGAAGAGCGGGAGAAGCAGUUUUUUUCAUUCUAAGCAGGAUGGCACUAGGAAAAUUUUAUUCACCCUAUUGUGUUUGUGGUGUGCUGUUCACCUUGGCGCUUCAACAACAGUUGAGCAGUCUACAACUUCAGGAUAUACAGCUUCAGAAACCCCAACUGUACUUUCCACUCCAACC